rnacentral:rRNA from 1 species
UGAAUACGAGAUGCUACGGCGUCGAAGCAGUCUAUGUCAUACUUCCAAGAAAAGCUCGCACUGUCAUAAACAAAUAAUGCCUGUACCAUAACCGACACAGGUGGGUAGGUAGAGUAUACUAAGGGGCGCGAGAUAACUCUCUCUAAGGAACUCGGCAAAAUGACUCCGUAACUUCGGGAGAAGGAGUGCCUUAUUUAUAAGGUUGCAAUAACAAGAUCCAAGCAACUGUUUAUCAAAAACACAGGUCUCCGCUAAGUCGUAAGACGAUGUAUGGGGGCUGACGCCUGCCCAGUGCCAGAAGGUUAAAGAAGUUGGUUAGCAUUCGCGAAGCUGAUAACUGAAGCCCUGGUGAACGGCGGCCGUAACUAUAACGGUCCUAAGGUAGCGAAGUUCCUUGUCGGGUAAGUUCCGACCCGCACGAAAGGCGUAAUGAUUUGGAUACUGUCUCGGAGGGGGGGCUCGGUGAAAUAAACUUGUCUGUGAAGAUGCGGACUACCUGCACCAGGACAGAAAGACCCUAUGAAGCUUUACUGUAACUUGAGAUUGAAAUUGGACUUUACUUGCGCAGUAUAGGUGGGAGGCGUUGAUAAUAUUCUUGCGGGAUUAUUUGAGCCAUCAGUGAGAUACCACUCUUGUAAUGUUAGAUUUCUAACUUUGUAUCAUUAUCUGGUCAAAGGACAGUUUCAGGCGGGCAGUUUGACUGGGGCGGUCGCCUCCUAAACGGUAACGGAGGCGCACAAAGGUUUCCUCUGAACGGGUAGAAAUCGUAUCUAGAGUGUAAAGGCAUAAGGAAGCUUGACUGUGAGACCUACAAGUCGAGCGGGGACGUAAGUCGGUCUUAGUGAUCUGACGGUGCUGAGUGGAAAGGCCGUCACUCAACGGAUAAAAGUUACUCUAAGGAUAACAGGCUGAUCUCCCCCAAGAGUUCACAUCGACGGGGAGGUUUGGCACCUCGAUGUCGGCUCAUCGCAUCCUGGGGCGGUAGUACGUCCCAAGGGUUGGGCUGUUCGCCCAUGAAAGCGGUACGCGAGCUGGGUUCAGAACGUCGUGAGACAGUUCGGUCCAUAUCCGGUGUAGGCGUUAGAAUAUUGAGAGGAGCCUUCUUUAGUACGAGAGGACCGAGAAGGACAUACCUCUGGUGUACCAGUUAUCGUGCCAACGGUAAACGCUGGGUAGCUAUGUAUGGAGUGGAUAACCGCUGAAAGCAUCUAAGUGGGAAGCCCACCUCAAGAUAAGUAUUCUCA